rnacentral:rRNA from 1 species
AUUGAACGCUGGCGGCAUGCUUUACACAUGCAAGUCGAACGGUAACAGGUUAAGCUGACGAGUGGCGAACGGGGGAGUAAUGCAUCGGAACGUGCCCGGUCGUGGGGGAUAACGCAGCGAAAGCUGCGCUAAUACCGCAUACGAUCUGAGGAUGAAAGCGGGGGACCGUAAGGCCUCGCGCGAUCGGAGCGGCCGAUGUCAGAUUAGGUAGUUGGUGAGGUAAAGGCUCACCAAGCCAACGACCUGUAGCUGGUCUGAGAGGACGACCAGCCACACUGGGACUGAGACACGGCCAAGACUCCUACGGGAGGCAGCAGUGGGGAAUUUUGGACAAUGGGCGAAAGCCUGAUCCAGCAAUGCCGCGUGCAGGAAGAAGGCCUUCGGGUUGUAAACUGCUUUUGUACGGAGCGAAAAGGCUCUCUCUAAUACAGGGGGCUCAUGACGGUACCGUAAGAAUAAGCACCGGCUAACUACGUGCCAGCCGCCGCAGUAA